GUGUCAGCAGCCGCGGUAAUACGUAGGUGGCAAGCGUUGUCCGGAUUUAUUGGGCGUAAAGGGCGCGCAGGCGGUUCGUUAAGUUCGAGGUGAAAUCUCCUGGCUCAACUGGGAGGGGUCUUCGGAUACUGGCGGACUUGAGGAGAGCAGAGGUGAGUGGAAUUCUGGGUGUAGUGGUGAAAUGCGUAGAUAUCCAGAGGAACACCAGUGGCGAAGGCGACUCACUGGGCUCCACCUGACGCUGAGGCGCGAAAGCGUGGGGAGCGAACCGGAUUAGAAACCCCGGUAGUCC
rnacentral:rRNA from 1 species